CUGGUUGAUCCUGCCGGAGGUUACUGCUAUCGAGGUUCGACUAAGCCAUGCGAGUCGAAUGUAGCAAUACAUGGCGAACUGCUCAGUAACACGUGGACAACCUGCCCUUAGGUUGGGUAUAAACCCGGGAAACUGGGUAUAAUACCCGAUAGGUCUCGAUUGCUGGAAUGCAUCGAGAUUUAAAGCUCCGGCGCCUAAGGAUGGGUCUGCGGCCUAUCAGGUAGUAGUGGGUGUAGCGUACCUACUAGCCUACGACGGGUACGGGUUGUGAGAGCAAGAGCCCGGAGAUGGAUUCUGAGACACGAAUCCAGGCCCUACGGGGUGCAGCAGGCGCGAAAACUUUACAAUGCUGGCAACAGCGAUAAGGGAACCUCGAGUGCCAGGUUACAAAUCUGGCUGUCGAGAUGCCUAAAAAGCAUUUCAUAGCAAGGGCCGGGCAAGACCGGUGCCAGCCGCCGCGGUAACACCGGCGGCUCGAGUGGUAACCGUUAUUAUUGGGUCUAAAGGGUCUGUAGCCGGCCGGAUAAGUCUCUUGAGAAAUCUGGCAGCUUAACUGUCAGGCUUUCAGGAGAUACCGUCUGGCUCGAGGCCGGGAGAGGUGAGAGGUACUUCAGGGGUAGGGGUGAAAUCUUGUAAUCCUUGAAGGACCACCAGUGGCGAAGGCGUCUCACCAGAACGGACCUGACGGCAAGGGACGAAAGCUAGGGGCACGAACCGGAUUAGAUACCCGGGUAGUCCUAGCCGUAAACGAUGCUCGCUAGGUGUCAGUCACGGUGCGACCGUGAUUGGUGCCGUAGGGAAGCCGUGAAGCGAGCCACCUGGGAAGUAUGGCCGCAAGGCUGAAACUUAAAGGAAUUGGCGGGGGAGCACUACAACGGGUGGAGCCUGCGGUUUAAUUGGAUUCAACGCCGGG
rnacentral:rRNA from 1 species